GCCUCCGUAGCUCAGUUGGUUAGAGCAUCCGACUCUUAAUCGGGUGGCCGUGGGUUCGAGUCCCACUGGGGGCA
rnacentral:tRNA from 1 species